rnacentral:lncRNA from 1 species
ACAGCUAGAUAGGAGGAAUGAGUACAUCUAUGACACCAAGCUGGGAAUCGACAAGUGUGACAACUCCUCCAUGUCCCUGAAGAUGGGAUACAGUCAGGGCGCUCAUCAGAGCAGCCAGGCCUUCGGCCUGGGCCCACAGAUAUACGACCCCAAGUACUACUGGGGAGGCCCAGUGGCCCAUGGCGCUCCCUCGGGCUCCGGUGACUUCCCGGGGCCAGGGGAGGCCCCUGAAUAUCUCCCUUACCACCAGGAGGAGACCGGC